UACGUAGGGGGCAAGCGUUAUCCGGAUUUACUGGGUGUAAAGGGGGCGUAGACGGCGAUGCAAGCCAGAUGUGAAAGCCCGGGGCUCAACCCCGGGACUGCAUUUGGAACUGUGUGGCUGGAGUGUCGGAGAGGCAAGUGGAAUUCCUAGUGUAGCGGUGAAAUGCGUAGAUAUUAGGAGGAACACCAGUGGCGAAGGCGGCUUGCUGGACGAUGACUGACGUUGAGGCUCGAAAGCGUGGGGAGCAAACAGG
rnacentral:rRNA from 1 species